AUGUCUGGCAGCUUUCCUCUGCUGCCUCUAAAAUUAUCUUCCUUGAGAGAGAAAAUGGAGAUCCAUGCCUGGGCUCAGCAAGCUGGCAGCGGGGACCUGGUGAUGAGGAUGAGAUCCAAAACAGUUUGUGGUGCUUGUGUUAUGGAGCAGUUAGAUAAUCACAAGAGAUGUGAGCAUGGUAUGCUGUACAAAACACCCCUCAGGAUCUUUAUUCAAGGAUUCUAGCACCAUAAAAAGCUAAUCUGCAAGAAAAAUUGUGAGUAUUAAAAACAAAUGAGUAGUUACUGUGCUCCCUCUAUUUCUCACUUAUGACCCUGCUCUAGCCUCUUAAAAAAAAAGAGUAUAGCAAUCUGUCACACAAAGUAUUCUUGACAUCUCACAAAUGAGCUUCUCAUUUUUUCCCUUUUCUUUUUUUGUUUGUUACCUAAAUGU
rnacentral:lncRNA from 1 species